rnacentral:misc_RNA from 1 species
UCUCCGUUGGUGAACCAGCGGAGGGAUCAUUACAGGGUUGCAAAACUCCCAAACCAUUGUGAACGUUACCUAUCCCGUUGCUUCGGCGGGCGGCCCGGGCCCCGCGCCCGGCGCCCCCCGGCCCCCCGUGGGCGCCCGCCGGAGGUAAACCAAACCCUUGAAUUGCAUGGCCUCUCUGAGUCUUCUGUACUGAAUAAGUCAAAACUUUCAACAACGGAUCUCUUGGUUCUG